GGUUAUGGUCAUACCUGAAUGUUCUUGAUCUCAUCUGAUCUCCCGAGCUAAGCAGGGUCAGGCUUGUUGAGUACUUGGAUGGGAGAUGAAUCAUCAGGUCAGUUUCAGUU
ensembl:rRNA 5S_rRNA 5S ribosomal RNA